CAGAUGGAAAACAGGGAGAGAACUCUGUGAGUGAAUGAGGAUUUGCGCGAUCCGGGAUCAAGCGAUCAUCCGCCUCAUACCUCGCCUAAAAAGCAUUCAGAGAGAGAGGAUCAGAAACCGCGGAGGGCUCUACUGAAUCCACACUGAUCUUAAAGACGGAAACAAUUCCAAGCAGCAGGGCUGGUGGGCAACAUAUGGAGCGCGGACCCGAAAAAGGCCGCGGCCACGAAGGGCGUGGUCGAGCCAGAGGAGGCCGAGGCGGGUACCGUGGACAAAAUGAUGAGCCUACAACCCAGACCAGUGUUGGUACUGCAAGGACUUUGGACAUUGGGUAUGCAACUGCUCGAAGUAAAAGCAAAAAAAACACCUCAGACGGAGAAGAGAACACUAGUCCCUCUGAUGGACUGAGUCCAAACACUGAUGAGGUAGGCUACUGCAACCACACACACACUCGCUUCAUGCAAUGAAGAAAUGCUUUGCACUGAUACACUGCUUUCUUUGCUAUUAGGGACAAUUGAUAGGUUAGAAAGUGCUGA